rnacentral:lncRNA from 1 species
CUUGAGGGAGCCGAUCUCCUCGACCUUAGACUUCGCCCGCUGCCUUAGGUCGGCCUUUUCUUUAUUUGAGGCCUCCAGAGCCUCCGUCGUCAAAUGAUGUUGCUCACUAGCGUCAUCAAGUCGCCUAGUAAAAGUUGCCACCUGAGAUUUCGCUUCGUGGAGCUCCUUCCUUAGUCCCUCCACGUCGGCAUUGUCCUUCCUCAAACGGGCCUCUAUGUCAGUUCCCUGACACUCUACCUCUGAAGCCUUCGCCUCGGCAGCUUGGAUAGCCUCUCCAUACAGAAGGUUUGCCUCCGACCGCUGAGCCAGAUCCACGCUCUUGGCUCGAAGGUCCUUCACCAAACCUUCCAGCUGUAUACUGGUGUUGAGGGCUUAGGCAAGGCAGGCACUGUUCACCGUGACAAAGUCCUCUGCAGUGCACGAGGCCGUGUGAUCCUUCCACGCCUCAGUCCAAUACCUGUUAUGGACCAUUGCCACUACAGCAAUCUCCGGAGGCAGAGCCUCCAACACAUCUUUAACUAGCUCCUCGUCAUUUGUGCCGAAGAAGUCUGACUCCUUCUCCUGCCUUGCCCUCUUCCUGUUCGGCUGACCUGGCACUUGUGCUAUCGAUGUGGCCAAAAUCGAGGCAGCAGCAGACAUCUCGAGGAAAGGAACCACUUUCUCCCUUAUCGCGAUCCCAAUGGGGGUCUUCGUUUGGCGAAGUGAGGGGGUUGGCCUGGCCACUGAAGGCCCCUUUGCUGACGGCCCGGUGGCCCUCUUACCCUUCCUCAACAAGGAGGCCCCGGGGUCCUCAUCCUCCUCCUCGCCGACCACUGGCUGGAGUUUGUUACUCGCAG